CAAUAGCGUAUAUUUAAGUUGUUGCAGUUAAAAAGCUCGUAGUCGGAUUUUGGCUGAGAACGAUCGGUCCGCCGUUAGGUGUGCACUGAUUGGUCUCAGCUUCCUGGUGAGGAGGUGUGCUUCACGGCCACUUAGUCACCGUGGUUACUUUGAAAAAAUUAGAGUGUUCAAAGCGGGCUUACGCUUGAAUAUAUUAGCAUGGAAUAACACCAUAGGACUCCUGUCCUAUUUCGUUGGUCUCGGGACGGGAGUAAUGAUUAAGAGGAACAGUUGGGGGCAUUCGUAUUUCAUUGUCAGAGGUGAAAUUCUUGGAUUUAUGAAAGACGAACUUCUGCGAAAGCAUUCGGCAAGGAUGUUUUCAUUGA
rnacentral:rRNA from 1 species